ensembl:snRNA U11 spliceosomal RNA
AACUAGGGCUUCUGUCAUGUAUGGCACAUGAACUGGGGCAGCUGUGGCUUUUCCUGCUUCAUGCAGAAUCAACAUCAAAAGAUUGCAGAAGCAUAAUUUUUACUCCUGGGGUUGCUAGUAAUGGUUGAUUCCACUUCUCCCACCCCC